AUUGAACGCUGGCGGCAGGCUUAACACAUGCAAGUCGAACGAGUGGCGGACGGGUGAGUAAUGCUUGGGAAUCUGGCUGAUGGAGGGGGAUAACUACUGGAAACGGUAGCUAAUACCGCAUACCAUAGGAUGAGCCCAAGUGGGAUUAGGUAGUGGGUGGGGUAAAGGCUCACCAAGGCGACGAUCUCUAGCUGGUCUGAGAGGAUGACCAGCCACACUGGGACUGAGACACGGCCCAGACUCCUACGGGAGGCAGCAGUGGGGAAUAUUGCGCAAUGGGGGCAAGCCUGAUGCAGCCAUGCCGCGUGAAUGAAGAAGGCCUUCGGGUUGUAAAGUACUUUCGGUAGGGAGGCGUUAACUACAGAAGAAGCACCGGCUAACUCCGUGCCAGCAGCCGCGGUAAUAC
rnacentral:rRNA from 1 species